CCUACGGGAGGCAGCAGUGGGGAAUAUUGGGCAAUGGGCGCAAGCCUGACCCAGCAACGCCGCGUGAAGGAAGAAGGCUUUCGGGUUGUAAACUUCUUUUGUCAGGGACGAAGCAAGUGACGGUACCUGACGACUAAGCCACGGCUAACUACGUGCCACCAGCCGCGGUCAUACGUAGGGGGCAAGCCUUAUCCGGAUGUACUGGGGGUAAAGGGCGUGUAGGCGGGACUGCAAGUCAGAUGGUAAAACUAAGGGCGCAACCUAUUGCGUGCCUUUGAAACUGUAGUUCUUGAGUACUCGAGAGGUAGACGGAAUGCCUGGUGUAGCGGUGAAAUGCGUAGAUAUGAGGAGGAACACCAGUGGCGAAGGCAGGAUGCCGGAGAGCAACUGACGCUGAGGCGCGAAAGUGUGGGUAGCGAACAGGAUUAGAUACCCUAGUAGUC
rnacentral:rRNA from 1 species